UCACUAAUGGCAGGCAUUUCCUUCUACACAGACAGAGCUUUUGCUGACUACAACAAUGCUCCAAGAGAAAGGAGAAAGCAGGGUCUGACAAAGGAGUAAAGAAAGAUAAGAGGAUUCAUUUAAUGCAGUAGAGCUGAGUUAAACCCGGAUCAAAGCUUUGAAAUGAUACCAUAAAGUUGGUGGGAGUCUGGUAGAACUGGCCCAAAUGAGACUGCUAAAUAAUAAGUGACUCAUGCUUAUAAUUCACCCUCUCUUUCAUCUUUAUGUGCUAAAGAAAGGUUGCUUUGAUUUUCAAGCUGAUGAAUAUACAUUGACACAUCUGAGACUGACCAUUACGUUUAUAACCUUGGCAACUUUCCACUCAUCCUGGAAGAGGCAGGUUUAUGCUGAUUGUUAACAGUGGAAACAAAUGGCAACAAAUGAAGUACAAGGAUACUUGUACCACAGUGCUGCUCUCUAGCAGAGCCAUCUGAGACAGUGGAAAUGGAUUUUUCCUUUUAGUGAUAAAAUACAAGGACAUCAGAUCAGGCAAACCAGAUCAGAAGUGACUGAAGAAUUUGGUCACAGAGUAAGCUGUAAUUAGUACUUUGUUUUUCUUUACUCCAGCUGCAGGCUGCAGCUACUGUACUUUCAGAUGUCACCAAA